rnacentral:rRNA from 1 species
CCUACGGGGUGCUGCAGUGGGGAAUAUUGGACAAUGGGGGGAACCCUGAUCCAGCCAUGCCGCGUGUGUGAAGAAGGCCCUCGGGUUGUAAAGCACUUUCAGUGAGGAAGAACGCCUGGUGGUUAAUACCCAUCAGGAAAGACAUCACUCACAGAAGAAGCACCGGCUAACUCCGUGCCAGCAGCCGCGGUAAUACGGAGGGUGCGAGCGUUAAUCGGAAUUACUGGGCGUAAAGCGCGCGUAGGUGGCUUGAUAAGCCGGUUGUGAAAGCCCCGGGCUCAACCUGGGAACGGCAUCCGGAACUGUCAAGCUAGAGUGCAGGAGAGGAAGGUAGAAUUCCCGGUGUAGCGGUGAAAUGCGUAGAGAUCGGGAGGAAUACCAGUGGCGAAGGCGGCCUUCUGGACUGACACUGACACUGAGGUGCGAAAGCGUGGGUAGCAAACAGGAUUAGAUACCCUAGUAGUC